GAUGAAGAACGCAGCGAAAUGCGAUACGUAAUGUGAAUUGCAGAUUUUAGCGAAUCAUCGAAUCUUUGAACGCACAUUGCGCCCGCCAGUAUUCUGGCGGGCAUGCCUGUUCGAGCGUCAUUUCAACCAUCAAGCCUUCGCUUGUGUUGGGGCCCCGCGGCUGCCGCGGCCCCCUAAAUCCAGUGGCGGGCUCGUCGUCGUACCGAGCGCAGUAGACAUCCUCGCUCCGGGAACCCGACGGGUGCCGGCCGUGAAACCCCCCCCAUCAAGGUUGACCUCGGAUCAGGUAGGAAUACCCGCUGAACUUAAGCAUAUCAAUAAGCGGAGGA
rnacentral:misc_RNA from 1 species